GUCAGUGGCAACUUGGUCGGGUCUGCUUCUGCGCUGUGGAGGCUUUGUUUUUUACUCUUUGCAGUAAAUCUUGCUGCUGCUCACUCUUUGGGUCCGCACUGCUUUUGUGAGCUGUAACACUCACGGAGAAGGUCUGCAGCUUCAUUUCUGCGCCAGUGAGACCACCAGCCCGCCAGGAGGAAGAAACGCCGAACACAGCCGAACAUCAGAGGGAACAAACUCCUAACACGCUGCCUUUAAGAACUGUAACACCUCGAGGGUCCGCGGCUUCAUUCUUGAAGUCGCAGAGACCAAGAACUCACCAAUUCCGGACACAAAUGCAUCAUUGCACUCCAGCCUGGGUGACAGAGUGAAACCCUGUCUCAAAAAUAAGCUUCCAUUGACGGCCAGCUUUGGCUGUUCCAACUCACCACAGCCUCUGAAAGACCCAUGCUCUCUUUGGAUUGCUUCGUACCUGCAGCACGUUUCCAUGCCUGGGAGGUAAGGACCACAAGUCUCAGAAGAGUAGGAAGUGCCCAGCAUCACACAGGAAGCAAGUUACAGAACCAAGGGCUCUGUUCGUAAACUCUUCAACAUCUUUUAUCACAUAAGGGCUCAUAGGUCCAACUAACUGAAAGCCUCAAUUUGUGGGAAGAAGAGAAGCGAGGCUGGGGACACAGCACAAACGGUGUUUACGCCACUGAAGUUCUUUUGAAAUGGAAAGGCUCUGCAUGAAGAAGCGAACAGUUAUGCCACUGCCUCGCCAAUUCCAGUGAGGAGCUCAUCUUCAAUGUAGUGUUCAACGUAGGUGGCAAAACUGUAAUUUUUCCCUUUUUUGAAACUAUUUUUUCUUCUUUUAUUUUUGAAAUUCUCAUCUAAGCGACAGUUUCUUGUACUAUAGUGACUCCUGCUGGGAGAGGUAAGUUGAAGUAGCUGAAGGUCUCUUACAGAUAUAUCAACUCCCGGCCAGUAAAAAAGAUGUCCUAAACGCAGGAGAUGGAGUUAAACUGUUCCCCUACCUUGGACGCAAUGGCUUCUUUCAUCACUAAGAACAAACCCCUAGGUUUUACAAUUGAGACUGAGAAACUAGUACAGUACUUGUACAAUUUUUGAUCUACAGCAUCACGACGUGAAGCUGCAACAAUUAGAUGUAAAGGGUCCAUUCAUGAGGAAUAACAUCACUUUGACCCUUUGUGUUAGCUCCUACUGCUAAUCUUUCCAUAAGCGUGAACUUACUUUCAAUUUGAAGAAGAUGAAAAAGUCUUUUGCAAAACCCCAAUACUGUUUUCUGAUCUAUGUACCUGAAUGGAGAAACGUAGUCUUACCUCGUUUUUUUCCACUACAAGCCAAGCUACUUGUAAUCCUUCCAAACCUUUAAAGGGGACCUCCCUUGUUAGCAUCUCCCAGAGAACCUGGAACAAAAAGAAAAUGGAAUUUUUAUUCUUGUACUUUAUAUUUUUUGGUACAUAUUACUGAAACUUUAUCUAACAUGUAAUUGUAUCUAAUUACCAGACACAACCAACCCCAACUGUGGAAACUGGGGCAAAACAAUUAAGCACACAACUUCUUCCAUAUAUUAAAUACUUUUUACGUUCUUUUUUAUAAAGAAAAAACCUGGUUUAGAAAUUAGGACAUCUAGAGCCAGACUUAAAAUUUUAUGAAACCAAUGGGCCUGACUGAUUUAAUGUCAUCUCAUAAAUUAUCAGAAUUUUUAUGUUCUCACAAAUUAGAUUGUGUAUUUUGUUAGUUAAAACUCUUUCUACCUUCAAUUUCUGAUACAUUUGUCUAGGAAAUAAUAACUGGGAAUUCAACAAUAUUUUAAAAGGUUCAAUAAUGGUCUCAUCAAAAAUAACUGAGCCCCAAAUCCAAAUCACUGGCUAACCUACCUACCCCACAAUGGUAGAUACUUGCAAAAUUGUAAUAUUUAGAUUUUACAUGUUACAUUUUAGAUUUUGGAGAAAUCUCCCUCAAAAUGAGUCGGUCUAAGGGAUCUAUUUUCAUCUACCUACAAUAUAAUCUAUUAUACCAUACUCUAAGAUGUAAUAAAUACUUUCUAUACAUAUAAGCUGACUAUGUGAAAGUGAGCUUAUGUGUGUGUUCA